UACAGAGGGCGCGAGCGUUGUCCGGAAUCACUGGGCGUAAAGGGCGCGUAGGUGGCACUAUAAGGCCGUGGUGAAAGUCUGGGGCUCAACCCCAGAUCUGCCGCGGCGACUGUAGAGCUUGGGCACCGUAGAGGCAGAUGGAAUUCCGGGUGUAGCGGUGGAAUGCGUAGAGAUCCGGAAGAACACCGGUGGCGAAGGCG
rnacentral:rRNA from 1 species